UACGUAGGGUGCGAGCGUUAAUCGGAAUUACUGGGCGUAAAGCGUGCGCAGGCGGUUCGUUAAGUCAGAUGUGAAAGCCCCGGGCUUAACCUGGGAAUGGCAUUUGGGACUGCAAGGCUGGAGUGUGGCAGAGGAGACUGGAAUUCCUGGUGUAGCAGUGAAAUGCGUAGAUAUCAGGAGGAAUACCGAUGGCGAAGGCAGGUCUCUGGGCUGAUACUGACGCUGAUGCGCGAAAGCCAGGGGAGCAAACGGG
rnacentral:rRNA from 1 species